CCCUUAGAGUUUGAUCCUGGCUCAGAACAAACGCUGGCGGCGUGCCUAAUACAUGCAAGUCGAACGAGGAAGUCCCUUCGGGGAUCGUACUAGUGGCGUACGGGUGAGUAACGCGUGGAUAAUCUUCCUUAAGGUGGGGAAUAACUAGUCGAAAGAUUAGCUAAUACCGCAUAAGACCACAGGAUCUUCGGAUCAAGGGGUUAAAGCCGAAAGGCGCCAUAAGAUGAGUCUGCGCCCGAUUAGCUAGUUGGUGAGGUAAUGGCUCACCAAGGCGACGAUCGGUAGCUGGUCUGAGAGGACGGCCAGCCACACUGGGACUGAGACACGGCCCAGACUCCUACGGGAGGCAGCAGUAGGGAAUAUUGCACAAUGGAGGAAACUCUGAUGCAGCGACGCCGCGUGAGUGACGAAGGCCUUCGGGUUGUAAAGCUCUGUUCUCAGGGAAAAAGCAAGUGAUUGUACCUGAGGAGAAAGGACCGGCUAACUUCGUGCCAGCAGCCGCGGUAAGACGAGGGGUCCAAGCGUUGUUCGGAAUCAUUGGGCGUAAAGCGGGUGUAGGUGGCUCUGUAAGUCAGGAGUGAAAGCCCCGAGCUUAACUCGGGAAGUGCUUUUGAUACUGCAGAGCUUGAAUGUGGGAGAGGAUCGUGGAAUUCCAGGUGUAGUGGUGAAAUACGUAGAUAUCUGGAGGAACACCGGUGGCGAAGGCGGCGAUCUGGCCCAACAUUGACACUGAGACCCGAAAGCGUGGGGAUCAAACAGAUUAGAUACCCUGGUAGUCCACGCCGUAAACGAUGGAUACUUGUUGUUGGAGGUAUUGACCC
rnacentral:rRNA from 1 species